UUAAAUAAAAAUCGGUGUUGUUGCUGCCUUUAGUGGUGACGCGUCGGAAUUGAGUCGUCUUAUCUUCGGCUAAGUGACUUAAAAUUUUAUAUGAUUUUCGAACGUAUUUAAAUUGCUUACUUACGUUUGAGAUAUCGAAUAUUUUAUUAGGUUCGGUCAUCCUUAUGACUCGCGCCUAUAACCUUUUCAUU
rnacentral:misc_RNA from 1 species